AUUGAACGCUAGCGGGAUGCCUUACACAUGCAAGUCGAACGGAGUGGCGAACGGGUGAGUAAUGUAUCGGAACGUGCCCAGUAGCGGGGGAUAACUACGCGAAAGCGUAGCUAAUACCGCAUACUAUUAGAGCGGCCGAGAUCGGAUUAGCUCGUUGGUGGGGUAACGGCUAACCAAGGCGACGAUCCGUAACUGGUUUGAGAGGAGGACCCGCCACACGGGGACUGAGACACGGCCCAGACGCCGACGGGAGGCAGCAGUGGGGAAUUGUGGACAAGGGGGGAAACCCUGAUCCAGCCAUCCCGCGUGUGCGAUGAAGGCCUUCGGGUUGUAAAGCACUUUUGGCAGGAAAGCGGUACCUGCAGAAUAAGCACCGGCUAACUACGUGCCAGCAGCCGCGGUAAUAC
rnacentral:rRNA from 1 species